GAGGGUGUAGCUCAAGUGGCAGAGCACAUGCUUAGCAUGCACGAGGUCCUGGGUUCAACCCCCAGCACCUCCU
rnacentral:tRNA from 1 species